CAACAGGGAUUGCCCCAGUAACGGCGAGUGAAGCGGCAACAGCUCAAAUUUGAAAUCUGGCUCUCGGGCCCGAGUUGUAAUUUGUAGAGGAUGCUUUUGGUGAGGUGCCUUCCGAGUUCCCUGGAACGGGACGCCACAGAGGGUGAGAGCCCCGUCUGGUUGGACACCGAGCCUCUGUAAAGCUCCUUCGACGAGUCGAGUAGUUUGGGAAUGCUGCUCUAAAUGGGAGGUAUAUGUCUUCUAAAGCUAAAUACCGGCCAGAGACCGAUAGCGCACAAGUAGAGUGAUCGAAAGAUGAAAAGAACUUUGAAAAGAGAGUUAAACAGUACGUGAAAUUGUUGAAAGGGAAGCGCUUGUGACCAGACUUGGGCUUGGUUGAUCAUCCGGGGUUCUCCCCGGUGCACUCUUCCGGCUCAGGCCAGCAUCAGUUCGCCCUGGGGGAUAAAGGCAGCGGGAAUGUGGCUCUCUCCGGGGAGUGUUAU
rnacentral:rRNA from 2 species